GACGAACGCUGGCGGCGUGCCUAACACAUGCAAGUCGAACGAAGUGGGGACGGGGGAGUAACACGUGGGUAAUCUCCCAUCAGAGGGGAUAACACUUGGAAACAGGUGCUAAACCGAUACGGGUGGAUGGACCCGCGGUGGAUUAGCUAGUCGGUGAGGUAACGGCUCACCAAGGCGACGAGGCAUAGCUGGCCUGAGAGGGUGAUCAGCCAAACUGUGACUGAGACACGGCCCAGACUCCUACGGGAGGCAGCAGUGGGGAAUAUGGGGCAAUGGACGAAAGUCUGAUGCAGCAAUGCCGCGUGUAUGAAGAAGGCUUUCGGGUCGUAAAGUUCUGUUGUUGGGGAGGCGGUACCUGAAGAAGAAGCCACGGCUAACUCCGUGCCAGCAGCCGCGGUAAUUC
rnacentral:rRNA from 1 species